AUGGAGGUAGAAACCUCUAACCACCUUUUCUUCACCUACCCCAUUGCUAGGGUGGUUUGGAGAUCUAUUGGGGUGGUGCUAGGCACUGAUGUGUGCCCUAACAACUAUUGGUAGUAUUUCAUCUGGUGCAGUAAAUUUCUUCCUGGCAAAGAUACCUUCUAUACUGUGGGUUUAGCUGCUACUUGUUGGGCCAUCUGGCUGGCGCGUAAUCGUGCUACCUUUGAGAAAAAAUAG
rnacentral:rRNA from 1 species